rfam:Entamoeba invadens IP1 unplaced genomic scaffold scaff_1105074725903, whole genome shotgun sequence.
GGCGGUUUAGCUCAGUGGCAGAGCGUCUCUCUCGUAAAGAGAAGGUCAUGGGUUCGAUCCCCAUAGUCGCCU